AGAUUUAUUUAUAGUGUAUAGUGUGUCGUUAUGUUCAGUUGUAAUGAUUUUUUUUUACACAAGCAACCAUGUUUGUUUCGUAUUGAUAUCGUAUAUGUAAUAAAGGUGGAUAACUUGCUAGUGUACAGGAAAAAAUAUCUUUAAUCGUCCAUAGUAUUAACACUCAUGGAUUUAGAUCCAAACACAAACAAACUGAUUGUGACUCUGGCAGGACUCCAGGGGUCACUGGUUCGAAACCUGGUCCAGAUAUCCCAGCGGAGUAUGUUGAAAAUAAUGGAGUCUGACACUCGAUGGCUGGCGUCAGCGUGGCUGCUGUUGCUGCUACUUUGUCAUCUAGUCCUCUCGGCGCCAAUGGAACAUCAAGUGAAUGAAGGUAGUGCCCCUGAAUGGAAAAGGUUCUUUGUGUCUCAACGAACGGCCUUAGUCAAUGACAGCACGAAACUCUUCUGCAAGGUGAAAGGAAAGCCCCGCCCAUUCAUCGAGUGGUUCAAAAAUGGGGAAGCACUUGCGGAUGGCAAGCGGGUACGGAUAACUAAGUUUGCCUUAGAGGUGAUGAACACCCAACUGUCGGACGCGGGAGAGUAUGCGUGUAGGGCUUCCAAUCAACAUGGCGUGCUGUGGGGAAACAUGACGCUCCGAGUUAUAAAAGACAUGGAUGAUGCCACGCCACCCUUUGAGUACGACAACAACUUCAACACUGAUCCCUUCAGUUCUGUUUCACGUGAACCAGUCUGGUCGAGGUUUAAAGACCGUGCCACGUACAUCAGCGGCUCGGCAACCAAGACCGUGGAGUUGGACUGUGAUGUGCGGGGAUAUCCCGAGCCCAACAUCAUAUGGUAUAAGGUGGACGGGGGAAAACUAUCACUUCUGGAUCUGACAAAAAGCAAGUAUGUGUCCAACAAUAGGUGGAAGUUGAAGAUAGAUGGCCUGGCUCUCGAGGACAAGGGCCAGUACAUGUGCGUCGUAGCCAACAUCGUUGGUGCCAUCAACUGGACCUUUACUGUCGACGUUCUCCAGCGGCUACCUUUAGCGCCCAUCGUGGAUUGGAUAGAUAACCAGACAGCAAUAGAGGGUGACACCGUUAGGUUUACAUGCAAGAUCAUACUUAGUGACUCUCAACCCUUCCUGCAGUGGUUUCAGCACUACAAGGUCAAUGACUCGUACGUAGAUGAGAAGGGGACACCUAAUGUCAAGUUGUUGCAGCAAUCAGGUUACAUGAAGACGAUCGAUGACCCUCAGAACCUCGUGCUGCGUAACGUGAGUCGUUAGGACGAGGGCUGGUAACGUGCAUUGUGACCAACACCAUCGGCAUGAACUACAAGAGUGCCUACCUCAUUGUCACGACAGAAGAGAGGCGGCCAACCUUCAAAACAAGAACAUGACGGCGUCUUCGCAGUUCUCUCAUGGUUCGCAUGGUUAUCACGACCAGAUCCCCCGUAAGCCCUCGUCUGCACAGGCUUAUCAGGGAUGACACUUUCCCUCUAGACAGACUUUCCUUAAACAAAACAAUCCAUACAACGGAUAGUGUUGCCCUUGAUUAGCCAGUGUGGACUUCACAGGCUAAUCUGGGACGACACUUUAUGCACAUGCGUUAAGCCCCAUUCUUAGAGCGAGGCUCAUAUGUAUGAUAGAUUCAUUUCACUUCUGCAAGUGAAGCAUAUGGUCAUUUUGAAAGCACAGCCACUUUUAGUACAUGCAUUACCACAACCUCACUGACCAUCAAUUGUUCACCAAGUUCAGGAUUGGUUAAUCAGACCAGAGCCCUUGUCAGCCUCACGGCAUAACACCAGAACAUUUAAUGCAGUCCUGCCCACUACACGAUUGCCUCAGGCGCUAGAUCUUGACGAAGAAGAUUACUAUGCACGGGAAGCUCUACGGUUGUUUGCUGGACCUGCAGCGCACAGUUACACAUGCUCAGAGAGUUAGAUCGCAAAGAAAAAGAAGAAAGUGCAUGCAUUAUUAUAAAUGAUGACCAAUUACAUGUGCAGUUACAUUUAUCAUUAAAUUUCGUUAUUGCUGCUGGUCUUUGAUACAUUUGUUUGUUGAUCAAGCAUUGUUACUGGUGUGUUUGUAUGCACACAUUCCUACAUUUACUGAUUAUAUGGGACUUGUAUAGACAAAUUUUUUUUUCGUUGAGGUGGUUCUACCAUAUGCAAGCCUCGCUCUGAAUGAACGGGGCUAAAUACAUGUGCUUAAAUUGUUAUCCCAGUUUAGCAUGUGACAUCCCCACAUGCUUAUCAGGGACGACAUUUUUUAUUGUCAAGUUUAUUGAUGCCUCUUUUUUGUAAAAUAUGCAGUAAAAGAUAUAGACAAAAUAUCCAAGUGUAUUUACCCCGCAUUUUAUGUGCAUUAAAUACAGUGUCAAUAACGCUGCAUUUAAUGCGCCUGAAAUAUAUUUUUUACAAGAAGGGUAUUGUACAUGAUCCCAAAGGUUACGUUUUAGUCUGUCAUUUUCUUUCUUUUGUUCUAAAUAUGAUUCUCAUGCUUCCUUGAUAUUUUGUAAGUUAAGAAAUGAAGUCCUAAUGAAUAUAUUCGCCAUUUUGUUAUGUUUUCAUGACAUUAAGUGUUGAAAUUUGAAACCAUAACAACACAUUUUAAAUCCCAAAAUCAUGAUAAUAAAAUUUGAAUCUGAAGGAUUGAACCAGACACUCCUGCAUUUAAAUAGAUACUUUCCAUAUUAAUUAACAAGAAAUUUGAUGAAAUAAUGACCGUAUUUAAAUUACUCAAGUGUCAUGUGCUUUUAAAGCUUUACUGUUUAUAAGUAACCGUUUAAUGAUAAAUACACGAUUACUGUCGUGAGGUUAAUGGUUUAGCACACAUGCGAUAACUUUUGUUGUUUGGUGCUAUUAUGAGUCAAUUGACAAUUUUGCAUUUGUUUACUUUUAGUUGUUACGAAAGAAGCAUUUUGAAAGUUCAAUUUGCUUAAUUAUAUAUAGGUUUCAGUUACCAUGCAAACCAACAUAUAUUUGACAUAUCGACUGAUUAAGCGUUUGUCAGAACUGCGUACAGACCAUCACUUAUUUUCUUAAUUAUUCUUUAUGAUUGAUUUGUGUUUCACAUUAUACUUCAAACAAUACAAUAGUUAUGUCUAAAUGCUACUUUAUUUUUCCUUGUUCAGUAAAUAUGGCAUAAUUCGAUUACAUGAUUUCCUUCAUAAUUACAUCAUAACAUCAUUACCAAACUUA